rnacentral:misc_RNA from 1 species
CCCUUUUCUAUACAACAACUGAGCUGUCCAUUUAUAUACGACUUUUAGAAGGACAGGAAGAGAAAGAGAUAGAGAGAAAUCCCAUGGGGUGAUUCAAACAUUUUUUUCUUUUCGAAAGUCUCAAAAAAAAAAUCACGAAAUUUUAUAAACCNAAAUUUUAUAAACCAUCCAUCUCUUUUUUGUGUAUUAAGCUGUACACUUUCUUAUUCCAAG